ACCAGAUUGUUGAGGCUGCAUCACUUGGCAUUGCAACUAUGAAGUUGGAUGAUGAUUUUACAGUAACUGAAUAUAAACAUUUCAGAACAUGCUCAUUGCUGAACUGUUAUUUGUUACACGGUAGAAUACGUUAAACAACUGUACGUGGUUCAGGAGCCUUUUAAAAGAUAACGGCUCUGUGUUGUGACUGUUGUUUAAAAUAGCUUCAAAAACUCAUUAUCG